UUUACCUGAAACAAAAGAAGUCAACAAUUAUUUAAUAGUUAAACUUGACAAUAAUUAUCCGUAUGACAUUAAGAGAACUAAAACGUAUCAUAGGAAAAGUGGUGACCGUGUCAAAUGAACACACUACUCACUCAAAAUCGGUGUGUAACAGCUAAUGUAGUGCAUUGAGAUGGUUAAAAAAAAAAACGAGCCUAACUAACAGCAUCGCAGUUGGACUGGAGGCAUACAUAAUAUGAAUAGAAUACGAGUACAUUUACUGGCAGUGACGGCCAAGAACCUAAUUACUGUCAAGUGAGCCACGUACGAAACUCGAGGCGCGCACAAUUACUACAUGUGUGUUUAAACAAUGCCAGCGAGAUGUGCAGCAGCUCUACAUAAUGUGUACAUACGGUAGUAUUCAUUAUCAUUAUUAUUAUUUUCUCAAAAGGACCAAAAAGGAAUUCAUCCUUGACUAAAGCGUAAAGAAGUACACGUUUUGUCGAAAGGAAAACGGAAACAUAAUUACUAUGUACAAAAUGCGAUAAGUUUUGAUUUAUGUAAACAAAAAACUUAUAUCAUCUACAUAAAUAUAAUGCUAAGCUACGUUAAAAUAUUAUUAUGAAAUUAAGACGAUAUGCGUGGUGGUUUUUAUACGUAGAACAAAUAAAAUAUGCAAAAGAAUAACUGUGAGUCAAUAUUUAACACUCGCUUGAACAAACAAUGGGCAAAAUAUAAUAACAAUCGGUUAUCAGAAAUUAAUUAAAAACGUUAUCAAUUUUGAAACCGAAGAAAAACAAAAAAAAUUUACUUUACAAUGGACAGCAGCCGAUUCGAGUCGGUCGUAUCAUUAAUGUUACAAUGAAACUUGACCGAUAACGAACGGGUUCACUUACAGGCGCGCAAGGACAAAGAUUUUAAUUAGAGAGAAAUAAUAUAACGGCGUACUGAGUAAAUCGAAGUACAACAGACUGUAGUUACUAUACGGGAUUUUUUGAAAAUGUAUUGUGUUUUAAACACCGAUAUUUUGAGAUUUAACUCAAUGGGCCAAAUGGAACAUUAACGGGCGAUAAAAAAAAAAAAAAACACUACGGCGUUUACCACACAGCAUUAAAUUCUCAUUAAUACACACGCAUGGUGCAAACACGUCUGAUUAUCAAGCGCAUUGGAAUCAAUUAUUCAGACGACCUUCUUUUCCAAGAACUAUAAUUUACGCAUCGCUUUGAACGAUAUGCGUAUUCAAAUGGGUUUUUUUACAGCUGUGCAAGUCAAAACCGCCGAGAAAAUAAAAUAAAAUUAACGUUAAUAGUUUAUUUGUUCAAUGAAAUACGACCAAACCACCAACGCCGGUUGUCAUAAUUAAUUAUUUUCCAACUAGAUUCCUUGGAGCUGGGGACUCGGCAAAAGGAGAUACGAUCGAACCGUGAAAAGAAUGGGCAGGUAUAAAUCAAACGCCGACCAAAAUUAUGUACUUGGACUACGAAUUAUGUUUACAAUGAAACAGUUGACAUCUCGUUUAAUAAAUUAGAAUAUUAACAACAGCAAGUUCACAAUUUUAUUCUACAGAGUGACCGGCAGAUUCCAAAGAACAAGUUAUUGAUGAUAAAUCAGAAGCUUUUUAUUUCCAUUUAGAAUAGCAUUCACUUUUAAACACACAAAGCUAUAAAUUUGAAUAAAUUAUGUUCCUUGUUA